rnacentral:snRNA from 1 species
AAAAAGGGUGUUUGUCUCUUAGUGACACACGUACCGAUAUCGGUACGUGGGGUAUGGAAAUCAAGACAUACCCAACACGAAAUUUUUGUUCCUGCGGGGCUGUUUUUUGGCAUUGAACCAAAGACGCCCCC